UCAUCAUCCCAUAUUGAAAAAAAGGAUCGAUCAAAACAAAAGCCAGAGAGAUAUGGAGCAAAACCCCAUCGCCCACCACUACACCACCCGACGACGGCGAUGAGUGAACUCCACCGCUUCACAGUCCUACCAACCAACGAUGACGCUGAGUGAAUAGCCGGCUCUCUGGCGGCUAGGGUUCCGCUGGAAACCCGACAAAGGAGAUGAUCGGAGGUUGUCGGCUCUUCUGCGUGCUCUUGUCCUGGUUCUUCAAUUUUUGGUCAGAUCUAAUUCACAUAGUAAAGGGAUUUUAGAUUUCAUCUGGCUUGAUGGUCCAAUUUCCCUAUUUUGAAAGGGUAAAAGAAAAGAGAAAAAACUCACAAGCAGCGAACCAUAGGAUGGAGGUAGUAGGAGGCGUCAAUCGAACCAGAAAAACCAGAUAAAAUAGAUGACCAUGAGCAGCGAAACUUCAUGCGAUUUAAUCACAAGCAUCAGACCAAACUAGAAGCAAAAAUCAGGUCCAUCACACAUAUGUAGCUGCUAGAUCUUAUGGUGCUUUUAAAAGGUCCCAAGCGUGGAAAACCAUCCGACGUAUUGAGAAUGAGGCAGAUGCUCAUAAAACUUAAGCACCACAGCCCUCUUCACCUUAAAUAAAUGACACUGCCGCCUGCUGAUAUGUAUGUCAAGGCCGAUGCAGCUAAAGUUCCUAUUGUUGUUGCUUAAGUGUGUUAAUGGUGUUUCUGUCACCUCUCAGUUUUGUCAAUAUAUAAUAGUUCAUUGAGGGAGGAUUUCGAGUUUUAGACGUGAAUGUAAGGGUGUCCGGGGCACCUUAGGUGACCCCUUUAGGUGACUCCAUUCACCUAUUAGGUGAGCAUUGCCAACACUUAGGUGAGUUAGAGAGAGA
rnacentral:lncRNA from 1 species